UCUUCAACAAAUAUAAACAUAGAGAACUCAUGCUCUCGAUUACACACAAACAAAACAACAUAGUCUCAUCUUCUCAAUCAGAUGACUCACAAACCACCCCUAUCCCUUGAUGUCCCUACCGGCGAGCACAGGGGAGUCCGAUUGGACUCCGGUGACGUUUUCCUCCGGUCACACACCACUCGCACCAUCUCUACCGCCGCCGACAACAUAACCGACAAACACCCCCUCUCUGGCGACUUCUUCUGCCUACGACACGCACACCCGGAAUACUCUGCUCUCUCUCUCUCUCGAAAAUCCGACCAACAGGAGCCGCAGAUCAACAGCGCCGUCAUCUACGGCGGCGAUGGCGACGUCGAUCCUCCUCUGACGCGUUUCCAUCUCUGACAGGUGCGGUAAGUGUCGAUCCUCUACCGUUCGAGUAGUUUCAUGGUUUUGCACAUUUCUGAUUUUUGGGGUCCAGUGAUGUUUUUCUGUUUCUGGCCGAUGACGAUGAUGUAUUGUUGUUGAUGAAGCACGAGAUGUGACAGCCAUGUUAUUAACAGCGACAUUCCGGCGUCUUUCGAGUGAAGAUGUUACAGAUUCGGGUUAUGUUGGUUAGAUUCAGCUAGGUUUUGGUUCGAGUUCGAUGCAGAUGUCGUUCGGGUCAGAUCUGGUCCACUGUGGUUUGGGUCAACAUUUCGGGUUUGGUCAAACACGGUCAAUGUUCAGUAGGUUCGGUCAACAUUCAGUCAGCAGCAAGUUCAUGUUUCAGGUCUCGUUUCGGGUGCAGGUCAACAUUAGUCUACGUCGGAAGCGCUCAGAUUCAGUUCAAUUCCACCGGUCAAACCUCAGUUAACGGCAGUCAACUGAGUCAACACAACGAGUUGACAGGUCAAACCUGGUCAACACCAAUCAAACAUCGUUUUGGGUCAGUUUCGCGUUGCAAGAGAACUAUGUUGCUCGGAUUUUAUUUUGGUUCGGUUCGAGAUCGGUCAAACGUGGUCAAACAGUCAACUCAGUUCGGGUCCGGGUCAACGCCGGUCAACAACAGUCCACGAGAGGCCGGAAUGUUAUAGUUGCACGCUAGCUAAUUCAUGUUCUUGGAACGACAUUAUGGAAUCACGCUAGGCUAGCUUUGCACAGGAAUAUCCAGGUUGCAUUUUCAAAACUAUGGAACAGUUGGAAUAGGAGAACCCAUGGGAAUUCGAGUACUUAGCGGCGUUCAUUUGUGGAAGUCUUAGCUUAUUUGCUUCCGCUGUGCAAUGAAGAUACCGAUCCAGUCACGCCAGCUCUGAUAUUUCAGGGUGUGACAGAUAAGAUGUGGGUAUUUGUUAGAGAAGUUUAGGGAGAAAAGAUGAAGUAGCAAUGAAGCUUUUGAGAUGUAGUACAGGAAGAACUUUUUUAACUAUAUACUGUGAGUUAUAUGUGAUUUAAUAAAAUAUAUUUUAUUUGUUGUAUA